GACAAACGCUGGCGGCAUGCCUAACACAUGCAAGUCGAACGGACAGAACAGGGAAGCUUUUCGGAGUGGAACUGGAAAGUUAGUGGCGGAUGGGUGAGUAACGCGUGGACAACCUACCUUGUAAAGGGGAAUAACCUCGAGAAAUCGAAGCUAAUACCCCAUAAUAACCUUGCUUCGCAUGAAGUAAGGAGGAAAGGCGGCCUUAGCGCUGUCGAUACAAGAUGGGUCCGCGUCGGAUUAGCUAGUUGGUGAGGUAAAGGCUCACCAAGGCGACGAUCAGUAGCCGGCCUGAGAGGGUGAACGGCCACAUUGGGACUGAGACACGGCCCAAACUCCUACGGGAGGCAGCAGUGGGGAAUCUUCCGCAAUGGGCGAAAGCCUGACGGAGCAAUGCCGCGUGAGUGAAGAAGGCCUUCGGGUUGUAAAACUCUGUCCUUAUCGAAGAGAGAGUGUUGUAGUAACUGACAAUACUAGGACGGUAGAUGAGGAGGAAGCCCCGGCUAACUAUGUG
rnacentral:rRNA from 1 species